GAUGAACGCUGGCGGCGUGCCUAAUACAUGCAAGUCGAGCGAACAGACGAGGAGCUUGCUCCUCUGACGUUAGCGGCGGACGGGUGAGUAACACGUGGAUAACCUACCUAUAAGACUGGGAUAACUUCGGGAAACCGGAGCUAAUACCGGAUAACAUGUUGAACCGCAUGGUUCAACAGUGAAAGACGGUCUUGCUGUCACUUAUAGAUGGAUCCGCGCCGCAUUAGCUAGUUGGUAAGGUAACGGCUUACCAAGGCAACGAUGCGUAGCCGACCUGAGAGGGUGAUCGGCCACACUGGAACUGAGACACGGUCCAGACUCCUACGGGAGGCAGCAGUAGGGAAUCUUCCGCAAUGGGCGAAAGCCUGACGGAGCAACGCCGCGUGAGUGAAGAAGGUCUUCGGAUCGUAAAACUCUGUUAUUAGGGAAGAACAAAUGUGUAAGUAACUAUGCACGUCUUGACGGUACCUAAUCAGAAAGCCACGGCUAACUACGUGCCAGCAGCCGCGGUAAUACGUAGGUGGCAAGCGUUAUCCGGAAUUAUUGGGCGUAAAGCGCGCGUAGGCGGUUUUUUAAGUCUGAUGUGAAAGCCCACGGCUCAACCGUGGAGGGUCAUUGGAAACUGGAAAACUUGAGUGCAGAAGAGGAAAGUGGAAUUCCAUGUGUAGCGGUGAAAUGCGCAGAGAUAUGGAGGAACACCAGUGGCGAAGGCGACUUUCUGGUCUGUAACUGACGCUGAUGUGCGAAAGCGUGGGGAUCAAACAGGAUUAGAUACCCUGGUAGUCCACGCCGUAAACGAUGAGUGCUAAGUGUUAGGGGGUUUCCGCCCCUUAGUGCUGCAGCUAACGCAUUAAGCACUCCGCCUGGGGAGUACGACCGCAAGGUUGAAACUCAAAGGAAUUGACGGGGACCCGCACAAGCGGUGGAGCAUGUGGUUUAAUU
rnacentral:rRNA from 14 species